AGAGUAAAAUAGUACGUGAAAUUGUUGAAAGGGAAACGAUUGAAGUCAGUCGUACCGACGAGAAAUCAGCUUAUCGUGUGUGAACUUGUGGGCGUGCGUGAGUUUCGGCCUCGCUGUUUGCAUGUUUGUGUACUUUGGGUGUACUUUUUCGUAUGGUAGGCCAACGUCAGUUUUGAUCAUUAUAAAAUGACCGGCGGAAUGUAGCUUCGACUUCGGUUGAAGUGUUAUAGCUUCUGGUAAAUGUGGUGAUUGUGACUGAGGAUUGCAACGAAUAUCCUUUGGGCUAUCCGUCUGACCUCUGAAAGUUGCUCAGGUGCCGAAAGCUUGCUUACGGUUAUCUAAGUUGACAGUCAAUAGGUUAGAACGUGAUUACAUUCGUUAAGGACGUUGGCGUAAUGGCUUUAAACGA
rnacentral:misc_RNA from 1 species